GAGGCCACUCCUCUCCUAUGCUCCUUAAAUAGUUAAAUGCAUUGGUCAGCUGGGAGCAAGCCUGACAACUGAAAGAGGUGCUGCUGCCAGGACAAAGCCAGGUCCGCAUAGGCCUGGUGUGGCACAAGAGCAGCCACUACUCCUUCCCCUAGUUGCCACUAAAGUCAGAUCCUACCCUAGACUUUGUCUUUCUCAUUUUGGGUUCCAGUGGAAGCAUAAGAUGGCUCUCAGCAACCAUACAAACAGUAGUUCGGUCACGCCGAAUUUACUCCACAUGUUUGUGGAACAAAAGAAGACACUUCGGUUCACUAAUUUCAGCAACCCAGCCUUGGAGCUGCAAGAGGAGAUAAUGGCCUCCUUUUAUAUCCUCAUCAUCGUCGGGUUUUUUGGCUUUCUUCUCUUUGUCAUGAUGCUCAGCAAUAUUGUUUCCAGCAAGCCUGAAAACUACAUUGACUACCUCUAUUCUGGGAAGCUUAACCCUCAGAGAAGCAAUGUGGAGCUUCCAGGAAAGGAGAUCAAAGACACUUUCAUUGCUAUCAACAGCGCUGCCUUACUGGAACUGCAAAGGCAGGAUGGCAAAAACCACUCUGGGCCUGAGGCGCCAAACACAGAUGCAGUCCCGAAGAAUGUAUGAAAAAGGUUUCUUUUCAUUAUCAUUCUGUUGUGCAUACAGAGCGUAAACAGGGAUAUUUUUCAUAAAUGAAGGCAAGAGAUGAGGAGCUGUGCCAGAACAGAUGCAGGCAGGUUUUGUGCAAGCUUCCCACAUGGUGCUGUGAAGGUACUCGAGCACAACCUGUGGUACUUCAGCCCCAGGCCUUUGGAGAAGAGGCUGGAAAUCAAGUCCUUGCUGGCCUAGCUCUUUCAUGGCUGUUUCUAUCAUGUUUUAAUAGCUUGACUUUUGGGAGAAUGGAAGGGCCUCCCUUUGCAUGGCGUUGUUUCAAGCAGGGUCAGCAUGUUUCCAGAUGGAGCGCUGCUGUUGUGCCUGUUUGCUGUUAUUAUUUAUUCACUGAUUUAUUUGGGGGGGUCUGAGCUACCAGCAAGCAGAAAGAGCCACAACGGCCUAUGCAUCCACCCUUGCCACCACACCAGGCACCCAGAGGUGGAAGCAAGCUGACCCAUGUUCGGCCCCUCCUGAAUGAAAGAUUUCAAGGGUCUGGAGGCACGUGUCAGACUCGAACUUGUUUGCUCUCUUGGCAGGCUUUGUCUGCAGCAGGUUUUUGACAGUGGUCGUGCAUUUCUCAGCAGCUCUCUUCCUGCAUGUCAGCCCUUCACCAAGGCCCAGGACAAUAAGGAAGGGCAAGACAUCCAGAGGUCCUUCCAGUGUCUCUCCCAGGGCCCACCUGGACAGCAUUUGAGCUGACAAGCCACAGCUGUAGCCUGCUGGAUUGUGUCACUAUUGUGUCAAUAAUCCCUGAUAAAUUCCUUCAGUGUUUAGUGCUAACCCCCCCAACAUGAAAUCCUAUUGAGCCCUUAACCCCUACUACUUCCUCGGGUGGUAGAGAGUAAGCAGGGGGCUUGCCAUGGUAGUUUUAGGGGUGUCUUCUGCAGGUCACCAAGCCUCAACAGACACAAGAAAGAGGGGUUUGAUGACCACACAGCUCAGGGGUGUUCAAUUCAUGACCUGUAGAGCCCUGGUAUACAGUGGCCCAGGACAGACAGCGAUGGCAAGGCAAACAUUGGCAGUGGGCUUCAGUUUGCUAUAUUUGGUCCGCACAUUCAUUGGAAAAAGCUCUGGAGUCUGCAAAACAAAAUGGUUGGAAACUGGUGGUGCAGACGCUCUGAGAACUUUAAGGCAUUUUGUUAUAGAAGGAAAAAUCCUAUGAAACCAUAUGAAAACCUCAACCAUACACAAAAUUGUAUGCCUGUGGGGCGGGUGUUGCUGGUUUCACUCAGCCUCCUUUAUGUUGUUGCUAUGUGUGCUUGCUUUUUGUUACUGUUAGGAAAAAGUUCUCAACCAUUUUAUACCCUAGUAAAUAUUCCUUCUUAACUUUUCUUGAACAUGUUUUUACUCCACCUGUAGCUUCAUGUUUUGCUACUGCAAUUUCAUUCUUUUUUUUUCUUUUUUUUUCUUUAAUGUACCCUUUGCUGCCAUGAUAUAGUGUUAUUAUUAUGGGGUUUUGCCACUGUUUCGUCCAAGCCAACUGCCUGGAAAUGAUUUACUUAAUGUGGGACAAAUCCUUAAUGGGAAUUUCCACAGCCUGAUCUCAUAAGACACGUUCCAAGGCUGAUACUUCCAGCUGAUAGCCAAGAUGAAAUCCACACUGCUCUCUUGGCUUUCCACACUUCUUUCUUGAAUUCCAAAGAUUCAGCUUUCCAGCACAGACAUCUCCUUUUUUGGACAGGUGCAUAUUCCCCAGACACUGUCUCCAGUAGAGGCCAAUUAGGCAGUUGAGUUAGUUUUGGACUCCAUUGCCUUUGGCCUUAUUACCAUGUCUGGUUUAAUGACUGCUCAGCUUCAGCCAGGAUCUGCUAUUUAUACUCACUGCUCCUGACUACGCUCAGUAGCCGUGCUCCCGCUGCUGCAGCUCAACUAUUCAGAUCUGGAAAAUGAGAGGUGUUUUGAAGGUAGAAAAAUUUGCAGUUCCAGGUUUGUUCCUUCUACCCAGUGUGGGGGUUUUCUGGAAGGUGGCAAGUGUCACUGUCCAUUCUGGAGAAGGGUCAAUUUCUGCCCAGUACCAGUAUGAAAAGACUUCAGCUUGACAUUUUGCAAUAGUGACAAUUCCUCCUCUUUUGUAGACCCAUUUUAUCAAUUUUUCCACUCAUGCAAUGGUGUCAGGAAGCAGAACCAAACCUCUCUUUCCAUCGUGAGUGUUAGAUACAGGUUUCAGACAUCCAUCACCCAUGCCAGGUUCUGUGCAGUGAAAUCUUAACUCCUGCAUCACUGGCUGCUGCUUUUCUGGAUGGGCUUAUGGGAAAGCGCCAGGCAGGAGGGUGAACUCCAGAGCCAUGGGAAGUGCUCUUUACCUCCCUGCAAACCCAGCUUCUGAAAACCAAUUCACUGCUGAGGUAUGACAGAAAUCUAUUGAUAUCCCCAUUGGUGGCCCUUUGGGGACAAGCCCAUUCCCACUCACAUCAUAGACUAGUUUGGGUUGGAAAGGACCUUCAAAUACAUCUAGUCCGACCCCCUGCAAUGAGCAGGGACAUCUUCAACUAGAUCAGGUUGCUCAGAGCCCCGUCCAGCUUGGCCUUGAAUGUCUCCACGGAUGGGACAUCCACCACCUCUCUGGGCAACCUGUGCCAGUGUUUCAACAGCCUCACUGUAAAAAAUUCAUUUCUUGUGUUUUGCUUGAAUCUCCCCUCCUUUAGUUUAACACCAUUACCCCUUGUCCUGUCACAACAGGUCCUGCUAAAAUGUCUGUCCUCAUCUUUUUCACAGGCCCCUUUUAAGUACUGAAAGGCUAUCUCAUUCCUCAAGAGUCCAGGCCAUAGUUAGCCCAGUAUUUCUACCUGAAAUUGUGGUCAUACUCAGGCAGAAGCUGUGACUGUGAUGCCACCAAGGGGAAGGCUGCUGAGAUCAACCUUGGCUGAGAAUCCCUAAUGCUCAAACCCAAAUUUCAUCAGUUUUCACAAGGUGCCUUGCUGCUCUUUGUGGAAAACUGCCAGCAGUUGUACUAGCCCUGUUCUGAGAAGUUCAGGGCUCUUACUCUAGGUAUUGGCUUAAUUUAUUUUCUGAAGUUUCCACCUUUUUCUGUGUUUUCACUCUGAAGCCAUCUUUGAUUUUGGCAAGUGCUUCUCUUAUUGAUUCCAUCACAGAUCAAAAGGUAAAAUUACACACUUUUGGAAAGUCUCAUUUGAUACCAGAAAUACUCCUUUGGCAUGGGACUUCAUCAGACAGCUAGGAGGGAAAACAGAUUAUUUAAACUGGGUGUGGUAUUUGUCAGAAAAAGAAUCCUAAUUUUUAUCACUCCAUGUAAGACUGGAAGAGAACUAAACUCCCUGUAGAAUAAUGGUCUCAAGUGUUGGUUUUGGAAAAAAAAAUCAGACUUACAAAACAUUUUAUUUAGAUAAAAACAAAACAUUAAAUUUCAAAACUAGCAACUUAGUUUUAGCUGCUACAUGUAAUAUAAUACAGCAGUAAAAACAUGCUGUUUGCUUAACAUCUUGCCUACUGUUUAUGUGUAUUUAAUUAUGUUCUGUAUUUCACUAUGUUUUUAUUUGGGAUUUUAAAAUAAAAGGUUUGUAAUUAUUUUUAGCUUGCA